UGGGGAAUUUUGGACAAUGGGCGAAAGCCUGAUCCAGCCAUGCCGCGUGAGUGAAGAAGGCCUUCGGGUUGUAAAGCUCUUUCGGCCGGGAAGAAGGGUGUACGUUCUAAUAAAGCGUGCAUUUGAUGGUACCGGAAGAAGAAGCACCGGCUAACUUCGUGCCAGCAGCCGCGGUAAUACGAAGGGUGCGAGCGUUGUUCGGAAUUAUUGGGCGUAAAGGGUUCGUAGGCGGGAAUGUAAGUCGAAUGUGAAAACCCUGGGCUUAACCUAGGACGUGCAUUCGAUACUGUAUUUCUUGAGUUCUGGAGAGGGUGGUGGAAUUGCUGAUACAGGAAUGACAUCCAUAGAGAUCAGCAGGAACGCCGAAAACGAAAACGACCACCUGGCCAAACACUAACACUGAGGAACGAAAGCGUGGGGAGCAAACAGG
rnacentral:rRNA from 1 species